GUCUCUCAUCUGCGUUUUCCCCGUGUGAAAAGAUCUGCUCCUCAAUUCUCUCGUCAUUUACCUCAUGGUGAUAUAUAACAGUAGCAUCCUAAAGAGUGCAAAUGAGAAUGUGCGCCCCACAUUAUCCAAAUAACUUGGAGACUCGGUGCAACAAUAUUCCUUCAAGAUGGUACUCUACUGAAUGUCAAUUUCAGUUUGGAGGGUACUAGAUCUUUCAAGCAUUGUACUUUCAACAUGACCAAAUGAAGAGCUGGAUCCCAAAAUAGAUGACAGACAUUCAUCCUGGCUUUGAACAGUUCAAGAACAGUUUCCAACAUUAAUGAUUCACUCGUGAAAUACCGUUUGGCUGUUCCCUUUAUUUCCAGUCUCGAACAGUUCAGGAACACAAAUCAGUGAAUUCCCUGAAGUGGUGAAGAGAUACCAAAAAUAGGAAGAUAUCCGACAAUUAACAUCUCAAAUCACCCACUACAGUAAUUAGAGGUUACAUAUUAUUAUGCUUUAUAAUAAGCUUCAAGAGAUACUAGAAGAGGUAGAUAGAUUUAACUGGAUACCCUCGGAAUAGUUACAUAUACAUAUCUAAAAUAUUUUCAACAAUGCUAUUAAUAGAACUUAUCCUUUGUAUGAAUCUACUAACAUAAUAAGAAAAAUUAAUAACCAUUUUCAACAUUAUGCUAGAAAAUCAUCCCAUAUAAAUUAUUUUCU